AAAUCUUUUCACAUCAGAUCUUUUUCCGUGCCGAUUGGUCAAAAAAACAAUUAGUGCCUGUGUAGACCAGUGUUUUCUAACUCCAGUCCUCGAGUAGCCCCAACAGUACACAUUUUAGAUGUAGCCCCGGACAAGCACAUCGGAUUCAACUUGUCAUCAACCCCACAAGACAUGCCACCAGCGGUCUCUUCACACUCCCCAAUUCCAGAGCAGAUUGUGGGAGGCGCACAGCACUAAAUAGAGCCAUGACUACGUGGAAAUAUAUUCCACAUCAGGGCAGGCGGUGCAUGAACCCAUCCCAUGGGCACUAUGGAAGUUCAUGAUUGGGCCAACCCUGACAGCUGGCCUGUGCUGGACUAUACUGACACUGGCUGCUACUGUGGGAAGGGCAGCUUGGGCACAACCGUGAAUCCACUGGACAGGCUUUGUAUGGCAGAAUUCAUCAAGCAGAUGGAUAUGGACGAAACCCCAGUAAAAGGGGAUACAAAGGUUGAGGUCCAUGUGAUGAUUUUUUUUAUUUUUUUUAUCACAUAAUUCCUCAUUUAAUUUUUUUAUUAAAUAAAAUCUGGGACAUAAA